UACGUAGGGUGCGAGCGUUAAUCGGAAUUACUGGGCGUAAAGCGUGCGCAGGCGGUUUUGUAAGCCAGAUGUGAAAUCCCCGGGCUUAACCUGGGAACUGCGUUUGUGACUGCAAGACUCGAGUACGGCAGAGGGGGGUGGAAUUCCACGUGUAGCAGUGAAAUGCGUAGAGAUGUGGAGGAACACCGAUGGCGAAGGCAGCCCCCUGGGUCGAUACUGACGCUCAUGCACGAAAGCGUGGGGAGCAAACAGG
rnacentral:rRNA from 1 species